rnacentral:rRNA from 1 species
AUUGAACGCUGGCGGCAGGCCUAACACAUGCAAGUCGAGCGAGCGGCGGACGGGUGAGUUAUGUCUGGGAAACUGCCUGAUGGAGGGGGAUAUCUACUGGAAACGGUAUCUAAUACCGCAUACCAUCAUAUGCGCCUAGAUGGGAUUAGCUAGUAGGUGGGGUAAUGGCUCACCUAGGCGACGCUCCCUAGCUGGUCUGAGAGGAUGAACAGCCACACUGGAACUGAGACACGGCCCAGACUCCUACGGGAGGCAGCAGUGGGGAAUAUUGCACAAUGGGCGCAAGCCUGAUGCAGCCAUGCCGCGUGUGUGAAGAAGGCCUUAGGGUUGUAAAGCACUUUCAGCGGGGAGGCGUUACUGGCAGAAGAAGCACCGGCUAACUCCGUGCCAGCAGCCGCGGUAAUUC